UCUCUCAGCCUUUCUGGAUGGAAAGAAAAUAGUAUGUUGAGAACAAAUGUGGGUUUUGCAUAAGUAUUUGUGAAUUUUAAUUUUCAAAGUUACCUGCUGAAAUAGGUCUCCCUGUUUUCCAGAUAAGGCACAAUACCUGCCUUAAAUUACCUAAGCAGCAAGGGAAGGAGCCAGGAUCCGAAUCAGUUUCACUUCUAAACUCCAGCUCUUUCUGCUCAGAGAAGGUUCAGAUACUAAUUGGACCCCUGAGAUGACCCUCAAAGGAUUGCUCUGAUUUCGCCUGGCAGAGUGGCCUUACUAACACAGAACUUUUGGUAGUAUGUAAAGUCAAGUCUUCCAGUUACGAUGUAAGAGUAAGUUUGCCAUCUUAAAACUGUGCAGCCCUGGAGCGGGCAUGUUCAAUACCCCUCCCCAAUAUAACAACAGAAGUAUGA